rnacentral:rRNA from 1 species
UACGGAGGGUCCAAGCGUUAUCCGGAAUCAUUGGGUUUAAAGGGUCCGUAGGCGGUUUUGUAAGUCAGUGGUGAAAGCCCAUCGCUCAACGGUGGAACGGCCAUUGAUACUGCAAGACUUGAAUUACUAGGAAGUAACUAGAAUAUGUAGUGUAGCGGUGAAAUGCUUAGAGAUUACAUGGAAUACCAAUUGCGAAGGCAGGUUACUACUAAUGGAUUGACGCUGAUGGACGAAAGCGUGGGGAGCGAACAGG